rnacentral:rRNA from 1 species
CAGCAUGGAAGAAGCUUGCUUCUUCUGAUGGCGACCGGCGCACGGGUGCGUAACGCGUAUCAAACCUGCCUCAUACUCGGGGAUAGCCUUGCGAAAGUAAGAUUAAUACCCGAUGUUGUUAUGUUACCGCAUGGUGAUAUAACCAAAGAUUUAUCGGUAUGAGAUGGUGAUGCGUCCGAUUAGGUAGUAGGCGGGGUAACGGCCCACCUAGCCUUCGAUCGGUAGGGGUUCUGAGAGGAAGGUCCCCCACACUGGAACUGAGACACGGUCCAGACUCCUACGGGAGGCAGCAGUGAGGAAUAUUGGUCAAUGGACGAAAGUCUGAACCAGCCAAGUAGCGUGCAGGAUGACGGCCCUCUGGGUUGUAAACUGCUUUUAGUUGGGAAUGAAAAAGAGGACGUGUCCUCUAUUGUAUGUACCUUCAGAAAAAGGACCGGCUAAUUCCGUGCCAGCAGCCGCGGUAAUACGGAAGGUCCAGGCGUUAUCCGG